UACGUAGGUGGCAAGCGUUAUCCGGAUUUAUUGGGCGUAAAGGGAACGCAGGCGGUCUUUUAAGUCUGAUGUGAAAGCCUUCAGCUUAACCGGAGUAGUGCAUUGGAAACUGGGAGACUUGAGUGCAGAAGAGGAGAGUGGAACUCCAUGUGUAGCGGUGAAAUGCGUAGAUAUAUGGAAGAACACCAGUGGCGAAAGCGGCUCUCUGGUCUGUAACUGACGCUGAGGUUCGAAAGCGUGGGUAGCAAACAGG
rnacentral:rRNA from 1 species